rnacentral:tRNA from 1 species
UUAGAUGAAGCCAAAGGUAGAGGCAUUUCACUGUUAAUGAAAUAAUUGAUUAUAAAUUAAUCCAACUAAA